GACGAACGCUGGCGGCGCGCCUAACACAUGCAAGUCGAACGAGCGAGAGAGAGCUUGCUUUCUCGAGCGAGUGGCGAACGGGUGAGUAACGCGUGAGGAACCUGCCUCAAAGAGGGGGACAACAGUUGGAAACGACUGCUAAUACCGCAUAAGCCCACGACCCGGCAUCGGGCUGAGGGAAAAGGAGCAAUCCGCUUUGAGAUGGCCUCGCGUCCGAUUAGCUAGUUGGUGAGGUAACGGCCCACCAAGGCAACGAUCGGUAGCCGGACUGAGAGGUUGAACGGCCACACUGGGACUGAGACACGGCCCAGACUCCUACGGGAGGCAGCAGUGGGGAAUAUUGCACAAUGGGGGAAACCCUGAUGCAGCGACGCCGCGUGGAGGAAGAAGGUCUUCGGAUUGUAAACUCCUGUUGUUGAGGAAGAUAAUGACGGUACUCAACAAGGAAGUGACGGCUAACUACGUGCCAGCAGCCGCGGUUAAAUG
rnacentral:rRNA from 1 species